rnacentral:lncRNA from 1 species
CCACUUUGGCUCAACUUAAUUACAGAAGAUGGGAAGAGGUUAAAUAGGUUGUGCAAUGGGUCAGGUUGUAAAGCAAUGAAACACACGGACCGUAGAUAUUAAUAUUUUUCCAAAAUAAUGCCAUAUAACUAGGGUAUAAAAGUUUGAAACUCUGUUUUUUUCUUCAAAAAGCCUCAUUCCAUUUCUCUCUCUACCUUAUUUCUCUUUUUUUUCUCUCUAGAACUCCAAAUAGCAAAUCCCAAAAAAUGGUGGAAAAUCCCAAAAUCUAGCUAGAUUCCCAGAUUCUGGUCAGCUGCAUCCUCAAAUAGUUGCCAUAAAACUCAAGCAAUUUUUCUAAAAAAAAAAAAACUAGAAACCCACCAGGAUUGGAACCGAAAUCUAUAAAUUUUCAGCAAUCACAAAAGACAUAGCAAAAUGAAGAAUUAAUCCUAGAGAAUCCAGAAACAAACCUAACUAAAAAAAAAACCUCAUUUCUUUCCUAUAUAUUUUUUCUCAAAAGUUUCUCUAUAUUUUUUGCUUCUGUGCUUAAGCAUGAUUUUAUAGAGUUUUUUAACAAAAAUUUUAAGGAUUUAACAGAUUCAAUCUUGAAUUUUGGGAUUUCAUUUUGGUUUGAUUGUGGUCA